CUUGGUUUUCUGCUUUUUGGGCUCCACAUUCUUUGCUAAUCUCCUUCCGCCCCACAGCUCUGAAGUGCCCAGCCCACAGCCUCUACACCCACUGCCUUCCCUCCUGCCUGCCUUCCUGCUCGGACCCAGAGGGCCUCUGUGGGGGCACCAGCCCUGAAGUCCCCUCCACCUGCAAGGAGGGCUGCUUCUGUCGAUCCGGCUACGUGCUGCAUAACAACAAGUGUAUGCUUAGAAUUCACUGUAACUGCAAAGACAGCCAGGGUAGCCUCAUCCAGGUCGGCCAGACACGGAUCUCCUCUGGGUGUUCCCAGAUUUGUGAAUGCAAGAAAGGAUCCUUUCAGUGCCAAAGUUUUAAGUGCCCCUCAGGGACCCAGUGUGAGGAGAACGAAGACGGCAGCCAUAACUGUGUCUCCAGCACUAUGAAGUGCCCCGCCAACAGCCUCCGCACCAACUGCCUCCCUUCCUGUCUACGUUCCUGCUCCAACCCUGAUGGCCACUGUGAGGGCACCAGCCACAAAACCCCCUCCACCUGCAGGGAGGGCUGUGUCUGUCGACCUGGCUACCUGCUCGAUAAGGACACGUGUGUGCGCAAAGACCAGUGUGACUGCAAAGAUAUCAAGGGCGACAUCAUCCCGGCAGGCAAGACCUGGAUCUCCAGCGGCUGCACCCAGAGCUGUGCUUGCACGGAUGGGGUUAUUCAGUGCCAGAAUUUCAUCUGCCCGUCAGGGUCCCACUGUCAGCACAAUGAUGAUGGCAGCAGUGACUGUGCAGCCAACAAGCUGGAAAAAUGUACCAUCUUUGGGGACCCCUAUUACCACACGUUCGAUGGCUUCACCUACCGCUUCCUGGGUCGUAUGAACUACUAUCUCAUAAAGACACUGGACAAGCUCCCAAGAGGGAUUGAGCCGCUGAUCAUGGAGGGGCGCAACAAAAUAUCCCCCAAGGGGAGCUCAACCUUGCACGAAGUGACCACCAUCGUCUACGGCUAUAAAAUCCAGCUCCAAGAAGGCCUGGGGGUUUUGGUCAACAAUCAGAAGGUGUCGGUGCCCUAUAAUCCUAAUGAGCACCUGCGGGUCAUCUUGCGGGCUCAACGGCUGCUUCUCGCCACUGACUUUGAAAUGGUGCUGGACUUUGACGGAAAGCACAGCGCAGUGAUCUCCUUGCCUACCACAUACCGUGGGCUGAUACGGGGCCUGGUGGGAAACUAUGACAAGGACCAAACCAAUGACUUCAUGUUGCCCAGUGGAGAGGUCACCUCAAACGUCCAUGUCUUUGGCAACAGUUGGGAGGUGAAGGUGAUGCAUGCCUUCUUCCGAUUCCCAAGGUGAGGGCUGGGGAUCAAGGAGAUGAGCAAGACUCUCUUUCACGGGAGGCAUAAAGGGUUGAGCAUAGGACCUUGUGCAUGCAACCACUGAGCCACACUCC
rnacentral:lncRNA from 14 species